UAAAACAUGAUUAAUACCGUCUUAUAUAAAAUUUUUUUAUAAUUAGUAUUUUCAUUGUUGUUAGAUGAUAAAACAUGAUUAAUACUUUAUGCAUGACUUAUCUUUUUAAUUUUUUUCAUAAUUUUUUUAAAUAAGACGGACGGUUAAACGUUGGACACGGAAAAC
rnacentral:pre_miRNA from 1 species